rfam:Stegodyphus mimosarum contig113453, whole genome shotgun sequence.
GCCUUCGUGGUGUAGUGGUCAGCACGCUCGACGCGUAGCCGAGAGGUCCGUGGUUCGAUUCCCGGCGACGGCA